UUCUUUAACCUUGUGGCAAUAUCGUAAACCAAUGAAGGUCUCCUGAGGUGCGAUUAUUGCUAGUUGAGAAAUCCAAAUAACCAUUCCACCCAUUCCUGUGACCUGUACCCUUUUUUAUUUUUCUUUGCUGAGUUGCUCCCUUGUACUCCUGCGAUAUUUUUGGUGGACAGACAUUAUCUAGAUAUCUACUGU
rnacentral:snRNA from 1 species